GGACCCGCACAAGUAGUGGAGCAUGUGGUUUAAUUCGAAGAUACGCGCAGAACCUUACCAACACUUGACAUGUUCGUCGCGACUCUAAGAGAUUAAAGUUUUCGGUUCGGCCGGACGAAACACAGGUGCUGCAUGGCUGUCGUCAGCUCGUGUCGUGAGAUGUUGGGUUAAGUCCCGCAACGAGCGCAACCCUCACUUUUAGUUGCCAUCAUUUAGUUGGGCACUCUGAAAGAACUGCCAGUGAUAAGCUGGAGGAAGGUGGGGAUGACGUCAAGUCCUCAUGGCCCUUACGUGUUGGGCUACACACGUGCUACAAUGGUAUCUACAACAGGAAGCAAAGCCGCGAGGUUAAGCAAAUCCUUAAAAGAUACCUCAGUUCGGAUUGCACUCUGCAACUCGAGUGCAUGAAGCUGGAAUUACUAG
rnacentral:rRNA from 1 species